UACGUAGGGGGCAAGCGUUGUCCGGAAUCAUUGGGCGUAAGCGCGCGUAGGCGGCCGGUAAGUCCGCUGUAAAAGUCCAGGGCUCAACCCUGGAAAGCCGGUGGAUACUGUCGGGCUAGAGUCCGGAAGAGGCGAGUGGAAUUCCUGGUGUAGCGGUGGAAUGCGCAGGAUAUCAGGAGGAACACCGGAUGGCGAAGGCAGCUCGCUGGGACGGUACUGACGCCUGAGGCGCGAAAGCGUGGGGAGCGAACAGG
rnacentral:rRNA from 1 species